rnacentral:rRNA from 1 species
AACGAACGCUGGCGGCAUGCCUAACACAUGCAAGUCGAACGAGACCUUCGUGCCUAGUGGCGCUCGGGUGCGUAACGCGGGGGAACCUGCCCUUAGGUUCGGAAUAACUCCCUUAAAGGGGUGCUAAUACCGGAUAAUGUCUUCGGACCAAAGAUUUAUCGCCUUUGGAUGGGCCCGCGUUGGAUUAGCUAGUUGGUAGGGUAAAAGCCUAGCAAGGCGACGAUCCAUAGCUGGUCUGAGAGGAUGAUCAGCCACACUGGGACUGAGACACGGCCCAGACUCGUACGGGAGGCAGCAGUGGGGAAUACAGGACAAUGGGCGAAAGCCUGAUCAAGCAAUGCCGGGUGAGUGAUGCAGGCCUUAGGGUAGUAAAGCUCUUUUACCCGGGAUGAUAAUGACAGUACCGGGAGAAUAAGCUCCGGCUAACUCCGUG